GCUGUACCACAAAUACAAAUAUAUUAAACCCACAAAACAAAACAUUUGAUGAACCCAGUAGAUGUGAUCGAACAGUAAACCCACAUAGUACCGCAAGGGAAACUACUUAAAGCAAAAAACAGCAAAGAUUAACUCUUGUACCUUUUGCAUCAUGGUCUAGCAAGAAAUCAAAGACAAGAAGAAUCACAGCCUUCCCCCCGAAACCAGAUGAGCUACUUUAUAGCAGUCUACAGAACACACCCUUCUCUGUGGCAAAAGAGUGGGAAGACUUAAAAGUAGAAGUGAAACGCCUAUCGAAUCUGGAGAUAGCUGGCUACCCAAAAAAGAAUCUAAGUUCAACCUUAAACCUAAAAAUAACCACUAAUAACCUUAAGGAUAAUCAAUAGGGGUACAGCUCUAUUGAAACAGGAUACAACCUGAAUUUGAGAGAAAUUAACCACACACCCCACCAGUAGGCCCUAAAGCAGCCACCUAAUAAAAUAUCGUUAAAGAAUUAACUAAAAAAUCCCAACACAGACAAAAAACUCCAAAAACACUAAAGGUAGACCUAUGUUUAUAGGUGUUAUUAUGCUAGAACUAAUAAUAAGACAACCUCUCUACAAUGCACCUAUCCACUAGAACGGAUAAACCACUAGUCAUUAACAGACCACAACAGGCAUCAACAAACCAAUACACACCUACAACAAACUGUGACCCCAACACAGGAGCAUUUUAAAGAAAGAUAAAAAAUCAUAAAAGGAACUCGGCAAACACAGACCCCAACUGUUUAACAAAAACAUAACCUUUAGCUAAACUAAUAUUAAAGGCAACGCCUGCCCAGUGAACAAUUAAACGGCCGCGGUACCCUAACCGUGCAAAGGUAGCAUAAUCAUUUGUCUACUAAUUAUAGACCUGUAUGAAAGGCAAAAUGAGGGUCUAACUGUCUCUUUUGAUUAAUCCAUUAAACUGAUCUCCCAGUAAAAAAGCUGGGAUAACCACAUAAGACCAGAAGACCCUGUGAAGCUUAAACUAAACUAUUAAACCCUAUAAUAAAUACUUUCGGUUGGGGCGACCUUGGAAAAAAAAAGAACUUCCAAACACGUCUACUACUAGACACCCACAGGCCAACAAGCCAACUAACGACCCAGCACAGCUGAUAAUCGAACCAAGUUACUCCAGGGAUAACAGCGCAAUCUUCUUCAAGAGCCCAUAUCAAAAAGAAGGUUUACGACCUCGAUGUUGGAUCAGGACAUCCUAAUGGUGCAGCCGCUAUUAAGGGUUCGUUUGUUCAACGAUUAACAGUCCUACGUGAUCU
rnacentral:rRNA from 1 species